UCCUUCAUACUUGAAAGUUUUCUCAAAAAAAGAGCAGCUUGGUUAUUGUAGUAACUAAAGCAACACGCUCGUGUAUUUUCGUGUUACCUAUAUACUGCAGUAGUAGUGCAUUUUUUUCUGUUGCAGUUAUCAGUUUUUUUGUUUCUUUACUACUAAAAUUACCUACGAGUAUUUAUGUAUAAUUUUUUGGCCAUCAAUCUGUAUGGGUUCAUUGAGUUUGCUCGAUAGACUGAUGAGUAUCAAGUAGCCAUAGCGUAUGCACAUUUGGUCUCUCUGUGUGUACAUUAUUCGUAACCAAGUAACAAUAAACACAACAAGAAUCACUCGUAUACAAUACUCCUUCGUGUAGUUGCAAUUCAAAUUUUCUAAUUCAGUUGAUUAUAUCAUGCCGCCGGGUUAUAACCUAGCAUAUCAUUCGUUGCCUGAUAAUAAUGUCUACAAAAGUACAACUAUUCCGGAAGCUAAGUCGAGCAUUUUAGAAUAUUUUAAAAAAGUUUUCAAUAACGCCAAUACUUCUUCGUCGCACUUUGCACCAUUGGCUAGGCGCUCUGAACCAUUAAUAAAUCCGGCUGCGAACACCAUAGCUACUAUCGUUACAAAUGACAGGAAAAUGCCAUCGUCUACAGUUUCUGAAGAAAUUAGAUUACUUAGACGCGGUAUGCCUGCCGACAUGCUGGACGAUAUAGAAUUACGAACGGUGCAAUUUCAAACGCCUUGCACAAGAUCGCUGAAUAGAGCAGAUCUCGAAGGCGUCGAAGAAGCCAUUGUAGAAACAGACCGAGGAACUUUACUAGUGGCGAUACAAGGAGAUAGAAGAAAGCCUGCCAUACUCACUUACCACGAUAUUGGACUUAAUUACGCAUCCAACUUUCAAGCAUUUUUUAAUUAUAGCGAAAUGAGAGUAUUGUUAGAUAAUUUUUCAGUUUUUCACGUGAAUGCGCCAGGACAAGAAGAAGGAGCUGCCACCUUACCAGAAAAUUACAUUUACCCAACGAUGGAUGAACUCGCAAAUCAAUUAAAUUUCGUAUUAUCGUAUUUCGGCCUGGAAAGCGUAAUCGGCUUGGGAGUAGGAGCAGGCGGAAAUAUCCUGGCGCGAUUUGCAUUCGCUCAACCAGAAAAGGUCGAGGCGUUAAUAUUAAUAAAUGUGGUAUCAACUGCGGCCGGCUGGAUCGAAUGGGGGUACCAAAAAUUAAACGCGAGGUAUUUAAAAUCCAAAGGAAUGACGCAAGGUGUAUUAGAUUACCUGAUGUGGCAUCAUUUUGGUCGAGGUACCGAGCAACGUAACUACGAUCUAGUCCAGGUGUACCGUAAUUAUUUUGAAAAAUGCGUGAAUCCGGUCAAUUUGGCCUUAUUUAUCGACAGCUACGUCAGAAGAAGUGAUUUAAAUAUUACCCGUGAUAUGGACACUACUCGCAGGAGAGAUAGCAACGCGACUUUAGCUAUGCCCAUUAUGAAUAUUACCGGCGCUUACUCGCCCCAUGUCGAUGAUACCGUCACCCUAAACGGUAGACUAGAUCCUACAAAUUCUUCUUGGAUGAAGAUUUCCGACUGUGGUAUGGUAUUGGAAGAACAACCUCAUAAAGUUUGCGAAGCUUUACGUUUAUUUUUACAAGGUUUAGGUUAUGAUAAUAACAAGUUAUGCUCAGUGAGGAAAGCCAAAUAAAUUACACACGUCGUUCAACUACUGUCAAAAAAGCCUCGCAACAUGCAGCGAUUAUGUGUGACUCGAUUUACGGUAAAAGUUGGCCGUCCAAAAUUUAUGUCAGCGUCAUCUCUCGAAGGUAAAUGUAGUUAGAAAUCAUGAUUCAGUCAAAAAUAAAACGCAUAUGCUUGGCUGUAUUACAUUAAUACAGCACCCGAUGUGCCCCUGUCGUUGCUUCUUCCCAGCUCAUUUGCCGCCGCUGCAAUCUUUUUCUUACCAAGAUGACAUUAAAAACGCAAUGUGGAUGCUUCGCAUAACAGAAAAUCCAAUUUCUAAAAUAGUUACUUGCUAAAAAAUGGCAAACAAUCGAGCAUUACACGUUUAUAUAGAAAUAUAGGUUACCUAUCAUGUUGAUAAAAACUAAAUGAGCGAAAACCCAGUAUACGUAAUCGCGUCUACGAAUUGACAAAACUUUGAAAUUUAAAAAAAAAAAUAUUCAUUGUACCAAAAUAUACGCAUGUAUGUAAUUUAAACGAAUUUUAAUAUUUUUAAACAAACGUUCACUUAUUAAGCUAUUAUACCUUUAAAAUUAUACGAAUUUUUACCUUGUUAUUUAUACGAAUAAUUAUAAAUAAAAACCAUACCUACGUUUUGAUAAUAGAUAAUUUAUUAUAAUUAUUUAUAUUAUUUUAACGACCGAAGAUGCAUUAUUUGUAAAAUGUUAUUUUAUCAAACGCUUCAAAAACACACGUGUUUUACUAUUUUUUUUUUUUUUGUUUCAAAAUUUUACGACGAACUUUACCUACCUACGUUUGUCUACGUUUAUUACUAAAUAUUGAAAAACAUGACAUUUUAAAAUUAAAUUACAAUCAAUCAUUUUUCCCCUCCCCCCCUACUACCCCUACGAUAAGCUGUUCAUGUGUAUGUGUACUAUAAAUUAUAAACGACGUAUUUGUAUUCGUUAGAGAACGCGCGAAUAACGCGGAUUCAUUCAUUUGUAAUAGAAUCUUUUUAUAGUCAGCUUUUUAAAUGUAUUAUAUAUUUAUAUUUUAUAAAUAUACCAAAACAAAAAUGCUU